rnacentral:tRNA from 1 species
GAACGUAUGGUUUUGUGGUGAGAGCGCUUGAACGUUUUUGAAGAGGCGCGGGUUCAAAUCUCGCUACGUUCA